UGGGAUCAGUGGCGAACGGGUGAGUAACACGUGAGCAACCUGCCCCUGACUCUGGGAUAAGCGCUGGAAACGGCGUCUAAUACUGGAUAUGUGACGUGAUCGCAUGGUCUGCGUCUGGAAAGAAUUUCGGUUGGGGAUGGGCUCGCGGCCUAUCAGCUUGUUGGUGAGGUAAUGGCUCACCAAGGCGUCGACGGGUAGCCGGCCUGAGAGGGUGACCGGCCACACUGGGACUGAGACACGGCCCAGACUCC
rnacentral:rRNA from 1 species